rnacentral:misc_RNA from 1 species
GAUGAAGAACGUAGCGAAAUGCGAUAAGUAAUGUGAAUUGCAGAAUUCAGUGAAUCAUCGAAUCUUUGAACGCACAUUGCGCCCUCUGGUAUUCCGAGGGGCAUGCCUGUUCGAGCGUCAUUUCACCACUCAAGCCUGGCUUGGUGUUGGGCGACGUCCUCUUUGGGGACGCGCCUCGAAACGCUCGGCGGCGUGGCACCGGCUUUAAGCGUAGCAGAAUCUUUCGCUUUGGAAGUCGGGGCCCCGUCUGCCGGAAGACCUGCUCGCAAGGUUGACCUCGGAUCAGGCAGGGAUACCCGCUGAACUUAAGCAUAUCAAUAAGCGGAGGA